rnacentral:rRNA from 1 species
GACGAACGCUGGCGGCGUGCUUAACACAUGCAAGUCGAACGGUAAGGCCCUUCGGGGUACACGAGUGGCGAACGGGUGAGUAACACGUGGGUGAUCUGCCCUGCACUUCGGGAUAAGCCUGGGAAACUGGGUCUAAUACCGGAUAGGACCACUGCCUGCAUGGGUGGUGGUGGAAAGCUUUUGCGGUGUGGGAUGGGCCCGCGGCCUAUCAGCUUGUUGGUGGGGUGAUGGCCUACCAAGGCGACGACGGGUAGCCGGCCUGAGGGUGACCGGCCACACUGGGACUGAGAUACGGCCCAGACUCCUACGGGAGGCAGCAGUGGGGAAUAUUGCACAAUGGGCGCAAGCCUGAUGCAGCGACGCCGCGUGAGGGAUGACGGCCUUCGGGUUGUAAACCUCUUUCAGCACCGACGAAGCGCAAGUGACGGUAGGUGCAGAAGAAGGACCGGCCAACUACGUGCCAGCCGCCGCUGUAA